UCAAACUUGGUCAUUUAGAGGAAGUAAAAGUCGUAACAAGGUUUCCGUAGGUGAACCUUCGGAAGGAUCAUUACUGUUUAACGUUCUCCCUCCCCCCCCUAAAAAGGGGGGCUGUGGCCUGCGUUUACACCCUUGAAUUUGAGCACCUUUUGUUUCCUCGGCGGGUUCGCCCGCCAGCGAGGACCCCCAUGAACUCUUUGUAAUAGCAAUCUUUGUCUGAAACACAAACAAUAAUCAAAACUUUCAACAAUGGAUCUCUUGGUUCUGGCAUCGAUGAAGAACGCAGC
rnacentral:misc_RNA from 1 species